rnacentral:rRNA from 1 species
AAUGGGUCAGCGACUUAUAUUCUGUAGCAAGGUUAACCGAAUAGGGGAGCCGAAGGGAAACCGAGUCUUAACUGGGCGUUAAGUUGCAGGGUAUAGACCCGAAACCCGGUGAUCUAGCCAUGGGCAGGUUGAAGGUUGGGUAACACUAACUGGAGGACCGAACCGACUAAUGUUGAAAAAUUAGCGGAUGACUUGUGGCUGGGGGUGAAAGGCCAAUCAAACCGGGAGAUAGCUGGUUCUCCCCGAAAGCUAUUUAGGUAGCGCCUCGUGAAUUCAUCUCCGGGGGUAGAGCACUGUUUCGGCAAGGGGGUCAUCCCGACUUACCAACCCGAUGCAAACUGCGAAUACCGGAGAAUGUUAUCACGGGAGACACACGGCGGGUGCUAACGUCCGUCGUGAAGAGGGAAACAACCCAGACCGCCAGCUAAGGUCCCAAAGUCAUGGUUAAGUGGGAAACGAUGUGGGAAGGCCCAGACAGCCAGGAUGUUGGCUUAGAAGCAGCCAUCAUUUAAAGAAAGCGUAAUAGCUCACUGGUCGAGUCGGCCUGCGCGGAAGAUGUAACGGGGCUAAACCAUGCACCGAAGCUGCGGCAGCGACACUAUGUGUUGUUGGGUAGGGGAGCGUUCUGUAAGCCUGUGAAGGUGGCCUGUGAGGGUUGCUGGAGGUAUCAGAAGUGCGAAUGCUGACAUAAGUAACGAUAAAGCGGGUGAAAAGCCCGCUCGCCGGAAGACCAAGGGUUCCUGUCCAACGUUAAUCGGGGCAGGGUGAGUCGACCCCUAAGGCGAGGCCGAAAGGCGUAGUCGAUGGGAAACAGGUUAAUAUUCCUGUACUUGGUGUUACUGCGAAGGGGGGACGGAGAAGGCUAUGUUGGCCGGGCGACGGUUGUCCCGGUUUAAGCGUGUAGGCUGGUUUUCCAGGCAAAUCCGGAAAAUCAAGGCUGAGGCGUGAUGACGAGGCACUACGGUGCUGAAGCAACAAAUGCCCUGCUUCCAGGAAAAGCCUCUAAGCAUCAGGUAACAUCAAAUCGUACCCCAAACCGACACAGGUGGUCAGGUAGAGAAUACCAAGGCGCUUGAGAGAACUCGGGUGAAGGAACUAGGCAAAAUGGUGCCGUAACUUCG